rnacentral:rRNA from 1 species
UACGAAGGGUGCAAGCGUUACUCGGAAUUACUGGGCGUAAAGCGCGCGUAGGUGGUUCGUUAAGUCUGAUGUGAAAGCCCUGGGCUCAACCUGGGAAUGGCAUUGGAAACUGGCGACCUAGAGUGCGGUAGAGGGUAGUGGAAUUCCCGGUGUAGCAGUGAAAUGCGUAGAGAUCGGGAGGAACAUCCGUGGCGAAGGCGACUACCUGGACCAGCACUGACACUGAGGCACGAAAGCGUGGGGAGCAAACAGG